AUUCUGCUUUCUAGUAUACCAACGCACUUUCUUUCCAUGGUUACAAUGUCCACUUUUCCCAGUCGCUCAGCCAGUUUUUCCCACCGCUGAUCUAAGAUAUGAGAUAAUCCAACUUCCGUUGCGAACUACUUGCAAGUGCUAAUCCAAAUUCUCGACAUCUUGAGAGUUAACCAUCUCAUCUUCGUCCGCAAAGCUUCCUUUUCAAUGUGUCCCUGCAAAUCCGAGCCACUUUGUUGGGUAAACAGAGGCAAAUUCUCAACACUUUUAUCUGAGAUUGAAGGGGACAUAAACAUCCUUUUGAGGAGCCGGGGCAUUCACGUAUCCGCAUCCGUAUCUCUUGGAAUCGCACUGCAAGGCCAGAGGCUGUCAUCUAGAUGGAGAUAUUAUCUAAUUCCAUAUUCCCACCCCGCCCACGUGAAGCAGUUCUCAAUGCAAAAUCCAAUAGUCAUGCAGACACACAGUCACACAUUCGAACAAUCCGCAAUUGAGGAAGAUUGAGCAGAUUGAGGAAUUGAAAGGAGACUCCAAGGUAAACACUUGCGGAUGCUCAAGAUUAGUUGUGGUGGUGGUCCAGCUCGCCAGCUCGCCAAUGUCCUUCGAUAUUUGCUUUAAAAGGACAUUUUACAGCCAUCGGCAAUUCAUCUUGUCCUUUCUCCGCUCGGCAAAGGAAAUAAAAAAUUUGUUUGUCAGUUUGCUAGCUGAUUCCCAAAUGUCUUUAUGAGCCUUGUGCAUUGUCCUUUUCCCUUUUUAUUUUCCAAUGGAGCGGAAGCAGGAAGCACUAACAUGUAGGUAAAUGUCAAGUCAGCCCAUUUGGCAGCAUUUUCUUUUUUUCUCUUACAAUUUUUUGUCAUCUGAUUGUUUACAUUUUGGCGUAUUUUGACAACUAAAUUGGUGGUCGAAGGACUUCAUCUUAUUUCCCACCCAAGUUGGCCACAUGUUCGAUUUCCGGCAGCCACCUUUUCAUAACCCACAAAACUGUGGCCAGGAAUACUUUUAUGGGAACUGCACCGAGCUGAGCUGAGCUGAACUGAACUGAACUGAGCAGAACUAAGGCGAGGAGCACUGGAUGUGGACGUCUCGAAGGUCGACCGGGCAAUUACUUGGCUAAAAUGCUCUGGACCGACUGCUGCAAUUGCAACUACCGCUUUCCUUCUCCUUCCAUCCUUUUCCCGAUUCGUCCUUGGCUUGUGCAAUUUUCUUUGGGCACAACUGUCAUUAUGGACUUUGGUCAGGCUGCAUUCAAGAUUUGUUGCAAUUUAUAUUUGCCGUGGUGGCCGGGGAGGCGAAACCGCAGCCUCCUUCUGCGCUCGGCAUGUGGAAAGAUAUUUUCCAAUAAAAAUUGGGUUAGUUGCGGAAUUUCCGUAUAUUAAAGAUUAUUUACCUCA